rnacentral:rRNA from 1 species
UACGUAGGGAGCAAGCGUUGUCCGGAAUCAUUGGGCGUAAAGCGCGCGUAGGCGGCCUCAUAAGUCCGUUGUGAAAGUCAAAGGCUCAACCUUUGAAAGCCGAUGGAUACUGUGAGGCUAGAGUCCGGAAGAGGCGAGUGGAAUUCCUGGUGUAGCGGUGGAAUGCGCAGAUAUCAGGAGGAACACCAAUAGCGAAGGCAGCUCGCUGGGACGGUACUGACGAUAAGGCGCGAAAGCGUGGGGAGCGAACAGG